AUCAGAUUUAUGCUCAUCCAUCUGAGUGUCUUCUGAAAAUCCAUCCUGUUGUAGGUCUUCUCUUUUUGGAUUAAUCCCGCUGUUUUGGCUCAUUUGGAUGCUCCUGGUUCUCUGGUUGGACUUGGCAGCAUUAACCAACUCGUCAUUGAUAACAAAUGUCAAAAUCCAGCACAGGGCAAAUAAGGCUGCACACAGAGGAACCCUCUGUGCCUGCAUGGUCUUCUGGGAUCUUUUACGACAAUACUACAGUUUAGAGAUGGUGUCUUUUCCAAUGUGGAAUGGAAUUCCGCUGACAACCCCCUCUGAGUGAGUGAGAAGGAGGAUAAAACCCACAGAAAAAAAGAGGAGGAGAC